AGCGAACGCUGGCGGCAGGCUUAACAUAUGCAAGUCGAACGGGCAUAGCAAUAUGUCAGUGGCAGACGGGUGAGUAACGCGUGGGAACGUACCUUUUGGUUCGGAACAACACAGGGAAACUUGUGCUAAUACCGGAUAAGCCCUUACGGGGAAAGAUUUAUCGCCGAAAGAUCGGCCCGCGUCUGAUUAGCUAGUUGGUAGGGUAAUGGCCUACCAAGGCGACGAUCAGUAGCUGGUCUGAGAGGAUGAUCAGGCACAUUGGGACUGAGACACGGCCCAAACUCCUACGGGAGGCAGCAGUGGGGAAGAUUGGGGAAUGGGCGAAAGCCUGAUCCAGCCAUGCCGCGUGAGUGAUGAAGGCCCUAGGGUUGUAUAGCUCUUUUGUGCGGGAAGAUAAUGACGGUACCGCAAGAAUAAGCCCCGGCUAACUUCGUG
rnacentral:rRNA from 1 species